rnacentral:rRNA from 1 species
AUUGAACGCUGGCGGCAGGCCUAACACAUGCAAGUCGGGCGAGCCGCGGACGGGAGAGUAAUGUAUGGGGAUCUGCCUGAUGGCGGGGGAUAACUACUGGAAACGGUAGAUAAUCCCGCAUCCCAUCAGAUCAACCCAUAUGGGAUUAGCUAGUAGGUAAGGUCACGGCUUACCUAGUCGACGAUCCCUAGCUGGUCUGAGAGGAUGAUCAGCCACACGGGGCCUCAGACACGACCCAGACUCCUACGGGAGGCAGCAGUGGGGAAUAUUGCACAAUGGGGGCAAGCCUGAUGCAGCCAUGCCGGGUGUAUGAAGAAGGCUGUCGGGUUUUAAAGUACUUUCAGUCGGGAGGCGUUACCGAAAGAAGAAGCACCGGCUAACUCCGUGCCAGCAGCCGCGGUAAUUC